rnacentral:rRNA from 1 species
UACGAAGGGGGCUAGCGUUGUUCGGAAUUACUGGGCGUAAAGCGCGCGCAGGCGGUCUUCCAAGUCAGUGGUGAGAGCCCGGAGCUCAACUCCGGAACUGCCAUUGAAACUGUUAGACUUGGGGAUGAGAGAGGUGAGUGGAAUUCCCAGUGUAGAGGUGAAAUUCGUAGAUAUUGGGAAGAACACCGGUGGCGAAGGCGGCUCACUGGCUCAUUUCUGACGCUCAGGCGCGACAGCGUGGGGAUCAAACAGG